rnacentral:ncRNA from 12 species
UUUGUCCAGGUCUGUGGUUGCGGGCGCCAAGCCCUAGUCCAUGGCAGACGAGGUCAAAAGGAUCCACGUAAGCGCCGGCAUGCGUGCCUGCGCGAGCAUGGCUCGUCCUAGAGGUAAGUCGCACCGCCCGUCAGUCAAGAGGCAUCCGGCCUCGCGGGCGAGAGGGCCUCCAGUGAGCGCGGCUGCGGCCGCGCGAGCAAAAGCCCCGGUGCGCGAGUGUGGGGUCAAAAACCAGGUCAGCUGGACAAG